AACCCUCUUCCCUGCUCUGUUGGUCUUCUCCAUUAACCCUCUUGACUUCAAUGGGAAAAACGUCUCCCCCUUCCCUUUCUGCACCCUCUGCUUCAUCGCCUUUAGCAGUUUGGAGCUCCUUUGCUAGACCUUCUGGAGGAACUCCCCUCUAAGCCAUGGUUUCCUUCUUCCACUGCCUUAUUUGGCUCUGUCGUCGGGUCCUCUUUCCCUAAUCGUGAAAGACUGCGAGAUUUCUUGGUUUCCAUUUGGGAACCCAGAGGAGCUCUCUUUAUUUGUGCCACUGAUGACGGCUUCUUCUAUGCGAACUUCGACACCAAGGAGACCCGCAAUACCAUCUACUCGGCUGCUCCCUGAUGGUGUGACUCGUUUCUUCUUCAGCUGGGCUAUCACUCUUUGAACUCACAUUUUGCAAUCAAGGAACGUGAAUUCUUACCUCUAUGGCUGCAAGUACUUGAUAUACCCACAGCAGGGUAUUCGUAUCAUGCGAUCCGGAACGCCACUACUUCAAGGUGAAGGGAAUUAACACUAUGGAGGCGGCACCGCCAUGUACAGAAUCUUCUCAUCAAGGCGCUGCAGAUGGUACCGUCUUUGUGCUCAAAGUGGAAGGGAGACCACUCUAGGACCAGGUAACUCUUAUUUGGCUCUUCCAUCCUUUUUCCAUUUUCUUAUCAGUAUUCUUUUGCAUAUCUCUCAAUUUGAUGCUUUCUUGGUAUCAUUUUGACUGCCGUUAUAGAAGCGGACAAUUUAUAUAUGUUCUUAUUUAUCGCCUUGCUCACAACGGUGGCAAUUUUUCCGGAAACUCAGAAUUGUUCUUUUGGAGAUUGACUUUGGAUGGAAUACCCACAAAGGAAAACCUACAUAAAUGGAUGGAGACACUACCUAUGGUCUUAUGCCAUAAAGGGCAGGAAAAUCCAUAUCAUGUGUUCUUUUGAGACUUUGCUCAAACAAUCUGGGCAGCUGGACAAUUAGGCUUAAGGCCUGCAAGCCUUCUUUUUUACUUUAGUUUCUAUAUUAAUAAUAAACAGGAUUACUUUGGAGGCUUUCACCCCCUCACCAGAUCAUGUUCUACAACAAGAGAGGGUACUGAUGCAACGACAAUGGGACUUCUGAUCAGGCUACAGCAAUUUCUGUGGGUAAUCGAUAGUAUUUUGACCGACUUAGAUGAACUUGAUGCCUUACUACAUAAGGAUAAUUUUUUGAUGUGGCCAUGAGCUACUUUUGCAUGCAAAAUAGAAAUAGGCUAUAUCCCAUCUAAACUUCACUGUUGUGUAAAUGAUAGUAAGCAACUAGGACUUCUAAAACCCUGUGCGCUUGUAGGAUUGUCAACUUUAUUAGCUAAUCCAUGGUUUUUUUCUUUCGAAUUAAAAAAAAAAAAAAAAAAAAAAAAAAAAAAAAA